CCUACGGGAGGCAGCAGUGGGGAAUAUUGGGCAAUGGAGGAAACUCUGACCCAGCGACGCCGCGUGCGGGAUGAAGGCCUUCGGGUUGUAAACCGCUUUCAGUAGGGAAGAAGCGAAAGUGACGGUACCUACAAAAGAAGCACCGGCUAACUAUGUGCCAGCAGCCGCGGUAAUACAUAGGGUGCAAGCGUUGUCCGGAAUUAUUGGGCGUAAAGAGCUCGUAGGUCGUUUGUUACGUCGGAUGUGAAAACCUGAGGCUCAACCUCAGGCCUGCAUUCGAUACGGGCAAACUAGAGUUUGGUAGGGGAGACUGGAAUUCCUGGUGUAGCGGUGGAAUGCGCAGAUAUCAGGAGGAACACCAAUGGCGAAGGCAGGUCUCUGGGCCAAUACUGACACUGAGGAGCGAAAGUCUGGGGAGCGAACAGGAUUAGAUACCCUGGUAGUCCAGACCGUAAACGGUGGGCACUAGUUGUGGGAACCUUCCACGGUUUCUGCGACGCNGCUACGCAUUAAGUAGUCCCGCCGUCGGGUAGGUACGAGUCGCGAGAGUUAAACGUACGAAAGGAAGUUAGUAACGGUCGUGAGACGUGCCGACGGACGACGACGAGGGAGGAGG
rnacentral:rRNA from 1 species